rnacentral:lncRNA from 1 species
GACAUAGAUAUUGCGACCGUAGUUUCUUCAUUAUUAUUUAGCGGAUUCACCAUCGUUCUUACGUAUUUCCUUCUCGGUAUCGCUUCGUUAUCAAUAGUUAUUUUACCACUCCUUAAUCUCAUGCAAUGAAGUUAAAGGAAAUAUAAAAAAAUGAAGAACUUCUCAAUAUUUCAAAAGAUUUUAACAAUAGCACUAGUUCCACUGGGGAUGCUAAUUUGUUUACCGUCGAAAUUGGUAAAUAAACGCUAGUCUUCCAAAUUCAAAAUGCUUUGGUUACUCACAGGAUCGACUAGAUUGAUCCUAGGACAUGUGCUUUUGUUAAUUUAGGUUUUGUAAAUGAUGAACAUUUCGACAAUGUUCUUGGCUUGAAAAUAACGUUUGAAGUUUAAGAGUAAAUACAUAAAUAUAAAGAGACGAU